GAACAGUGAAACUGGUUAGUUUAGAAAAACUUCUUUUAGAGAAACUGGAGUCAGAUUUGCCUCUUCAGAGAUUUAAGAGAAAAGGAUUUCUCUUCCCAUUUUUCUGUGACUAUUCCCAUGCUGGAGCUCAGUAAUUCAAGCCUGGACAUGAAAGGAGCAUGUUCCUUGAGGAUUAAUCUAAGAGUAACUUCAACUAUGUUCUAUCCCAUGGGCUGCUCUUUUCCCUGCUGCUUUGAUGGAUGUUCUCCCCGCUGCAUCCCAGCCUCAGAGUCCUCACUGGGACCCUUGAGAAGUCCUGAGGAAAUGUGCCUCCUAAUGCUCUGCUGCCUGCUCUGCUCAGUCCUGCCAUGGUCUUCCUCUUGGCUCCUGCUCUACUGUACUCCAGACCUUGGCUGAAGUCCAUACCUGAGUGUGUGCUAUCCAACGAAGAGAGGACUUCAGGUUAGCCUCAAAGCUACACUAUGGUGUCUGCACAGGUGCACACAAAUGGCAAAUAGAGUUGACAUUUCUCACAAGUCUCUGCUCAAAAUUGUUCCAGCUGGGGCAGUGAUGAAAACAUGGAAUGGUGGAGCUUAUGAGACCUUCAGGCUUGUGUUGGUAUGAUUUUUGCAAAAGCAGCAAGGGAAAGCCCAGUGCUUCUGAGUUCUGCUACACUACAACCAAGGACCAUUCCAAUCCCAUAGUGAGGAAAGUGCUUUGGGAGAACUGUGUCCAGCCCUGCCAAACAGGAAAGGGAAAUCACAAAGGGUAGGAGACCAGCAAUUAUGAAGGUUCAAUGUAUUUGAAUGAUUUGAUUUGAUGCAGGAACUGGGAGGAAACAUAAGAGAAAGUAGAGAAGAAAGCAAGAAAGUUUCUCUUUUAAAGCCGUUGUGGCUUAAUUGACAGGACUACUGGCUGCAAUAAUGUGAUGCACGUGCUGCUGUUACCGAGGGCUGUUAUGCUACAGGCACGACAAAAAACACUACAAUAAGAGGCUCCAUGGCAUAACCCUGGUCAAGUGAGGAAAACAAAACAACCUCUUAAAUGUGCAAUUUUUGGGCAGGAAAAUUGUAUUCCAUUGUUUGGGUAUUUUAAAGGUGAUUUGGAUGAAAAAUACUGCAUUGUGUCUUUGGUUUUGUUUUUUUUUUUUUUCUGCUUUGUGGCAUUUUAAGGGUACUUUAAUAAUUUUAUAAUUUUUUUUCCCCAGGUUUUACUAUAUUAAACAGUGGUAUUGUGAACUUCAGUUUCCUCUUUGCUUUUAUUGACUUUGUUUGGGGUGUAUUUGGUUUUCUGCAUGAUUUUCUUUGUGUGUCAUUGCAUAAUAUGUUGUUUAUUUUGGAAAAGUCAGAUUAUGAGCCUGGGUGCUUGUUGCUUGUUUGCCACCAUGUCUCUUGUGCCAGAAAAACUUGUUUUGAAGGUCACAAAAUAAUAUUCCUUACUGGAAUAAUGCUCCAUAAAACAAAAAGUUAAGCACCUCUUCUGUUUCAGGUAAUUGCAUCCUUAGAAUAACAGGUAACACCUUAAUGAAGGAGCUGAGCUUUUAAAAGAGAUUUCUUUCUCUCCAGGGUAUAAAAUGGCCAUUUAGAGUAAGUAGCUGCUGAAUAACAUUUAGUGUUUGACUGAAUUUCCCUGUUUUCCUUGGAAACACACGCUUCCCUUUUGCUCAGGGCUGUGUAGGAUAUUCUCUCACACACAUGUAUCCCUAUACACAACAAGGAAUAGUGCCUAUGAAUCUUCCAGCUCUCAGCCUCUGAGCUCAGACCAUAAAACAUCCUUCUCAGAACAUGAGGGGUUAAGCCCUGGCCAUAACUAAUAUGAGAUAUAGGAUGACUCUGUGUUGAGGGUACAAACCAGAUUCAGUUCCCUUCUCUGAUAUGGUCUCUGAAUGAAUUUAUCAACUGCUGUCAAAAAAAAAAGGCAAACCCAUUCCUUCUUUCCUUAACUCCCCUUUCUGCACCUGGGGCUUUCCUCAUCUUUACAUGCUUUGGUGCUCAGCUGAUGUUUGGUUGAGCCAGUUCAAUUCAUGCAGAAAAAGAUUCACACUUUUCCCAUGUUAGUUGUCUGCCAGGCUUGUGAGAUGAAUUGAAUUCAGGAAACAGUCCGAUGAUCAUGAGAUCUGGCAAAGGAGAGGAAGAUGGUUUUGAGAGAGAGAAGAGCAAGAUCUCUAGCAUACAGCUUCCUCCUCUCUAUUUGAAUGGAAGUCACUUCUCCUUCUGUGAAUGAAUAAAAUGUGGAAUAACCUUUAUUUUCUUCCUCCUAGGGUGGUUGUGUAGCAACAUUAAAGGAAGCCAGAUUGCAGCAGUGAAGGGGAAAUGGAUGCAAGGUUUUGCUUUAUGUCUGUCCUUUAUUAACUAUUAAUAAAAACUUUAUUAUA